rnacentral:rRNA from 1 species
UCAGGAUGAACGCUAGCUACAGGCUUAACACAUGCAAGUCGAGGGGCAGCAUGGUCUUAGCUUGCUAAGGCCGAUGGCGACCGGCGCACGGGUGAGUAACACGUAUCCAACCUGCCGUCUACUCUUGGACAGCCUUCUGAAAGGAAGAUUAAUACAAGAUGGCAUCAUGAGUUCACAUGUUCACAUGAUUAAAGGUAUUCCGGUAGACGAUGGGGAUGCGUUCCAUUAGAUAGUAGGCGGGGUAACGGCCCACCUAGUCUUCGAUGGAUAGGGGUUCUGAGAGGAAGGUCCCCCACAUUGGAACUGAGACACGGUCCAAACUCCUACGGGAGGCAGCAGUGAGGAAUAUUGGUCAAUGGGCGAGAGCCUGAACCAGCCAAGUAGCGUGAAGGAUGACUGCCCUAUGGGUUGUAAACUUCUUUUAUAAAGGAAUAAAGUCGGGUAUGUAUACCCGUUUGCAUGUACUUUAUGAAUAAGGAUCGGCUAACUCCGUGCCAGCAGCCGCGGUAAUACGGAGGAUCCGAGCGUUAUCCGGAUUUAUUGGGUUUAAAGGGAGCGUAGAUGGAUGUUUAAGUCAGUUGUGAAAGUUUGCGGCUCAACCGUAAAAUUGCAGUUGAUACUGGAUAUCUUGAGUGCAGUUGAGGCAGGCGGAAUUCGUGGUGUAGCGGUGAAAUGCUUAGAUAUCACGAAGAACUCCGAUUGCGAAGGCAGCCUGCUAAGCUGCAACUGACAUUGAGGCUCGAAAGUGUGGGUAUC